UGAAAGGAUUUUCAGUUUCAAAAAAAUAGAAACGCUCUUCCCCUUUCACCUUCCCUUUCUGACGUUAUAAUUUCGUUCCUUUUCUCCUUCUCUGAGCCGUUUCUCUAGGGUUUCAAAAUCAUUUAAAGCCUUCCUCAGAGAAUUUCAUGUAUCUGGCCAUGUCUGCUUCAGUCAAGGAUUCAUAUUCUUCCUCAGAGAAUUUCAUGUAUCUGACCAUCUCUGCUUCAGUCAAGGAUCCGCUGCAAUAAGGAUUGACAUGAGAAUUCAGGGCUUCCGCAAUCUCCAUGUCCGCUUGGCAGCCAGGAUUCGCACAAGAAAUAGAGGCUUUAAAUUGCAUCACGUUCUUCUUCCCUUCAUUUUCUCUCUAGGGUUUCGAAAUUGACAGAUUUGGGAGAGAGGCUUUCUGCAAUUUUUCAGAUUUGGUGCGCCUUUGCUGGGAUUAUGGGGAUCCAGUGUGUGCAUUGAUGUCAUUGUUCUUAAUUGAUCUUGAUUGUGAUUCGCUAGCUUUGCAGAAAUCAAAGGAAUGGUAUUGGAAUUUCUCUCCCUCUCUCUUUAUUAUCCCUGAAAGGGCCAGACUUUUUUGUAUAUUUGGUCUUAAAUUUCUCUUCCUAUAGAAAAAGCAGCUUGCUCCCAAAUACAUAAUUGGUUUCUUGGUUUUCCUUUGCUGUUUUUGUUGAAGCAUGAGGCAAAUUGUCUCUGGAAUUUUAGAUUCAUGAAUGGCUAUAUGAUAUGGGUAAUUUGCUGUUUUUGGUUUCCCUUUCACGCUUUAGGUAUGAAUACUCUCUCUGUGUUUGGUACUUUUUCAUCAAUUGCUCUAUAGUCUACCUCAAAGAAUUUCCAUAAACAAAUACAUAGCUUUGGAUGUUUGUCCUAAUUUGUUACUAAUGUCCCAAAUACAUAAUUGGUUUCUAAUGUAUGCCUAAUUUUAAAAACUGAGUAGAUCUUACUUUUAGUCUAAUUGUUUUUUUUUUGUGCUGUUUAAUCUUCGCAGCACCUUUCUCUGAACCCAAAUCAGAUCCCUCGCUUCGAAACUAGCAAAUGGGUUGUCAUGGAAUCUAAGAGCUUGCAACACCACGUUUGCCAAUGUUUCUUCAUUGUUAGAACUUUUGAAUGGUGUUCUACCAUAUAAAAGUUCAUAGAAAAAAGCACCAAAUGUCCACAAAUCAACUACGGCUCCAUAUCCCUCUUUUUUUAUGAUCUCAGGCACCAAAUAUUCAUGUGUACCAACAAAUGAGUUUGAUCUUGCAUCCAUGGGCUCGGCCACAAGCUGUGGCAGUGUUUGUUAUGGGCAGCAGCAUAUAAAAAAUUCAGAUUGAAGAUGAUCAAGAAGCGGUGGUGGUGUGGAAGCAAUCCCCAUAUCCUAUUUUACCCUCCAAAUCCUCUAAUGUGCCUCUCCCAAUGGAAUGAAUAUAUACUCUCCCUCAAACAAACUCACUGUUAGUUAGCUCUGUCCAAUUUUUGAAAAAGAACAUUUCCAUCAAGCUUCAUGGCUACAAGUGUUGAUAAAGUAGCUCAUCUGAAUGCCUCUAUUGAAAAAGGCUGUCACCAUUGUUGAUUGUUUUGGUGUGUGUUUGGCCUCCAUUUUUUAUGUUUAGUUAGAUUUGAGUUGACAUCUUGAAGUUGUUUGAGUGACCUGACAAAACCAUUCAGGAUAAAACUUUUUGACAUAGAAAGUGGUUCGCCACUAUCACCUCUCCCAUUUUCAACAGAGUGGCUGCCUGGGUAUCAAGAGUCAAUAAAUCUUUCUUAGCACGAUAGGAAUUUGUGGUUCAGUGUCUGUAUUAUCACUAGCAUUAUGUAAACUUUUCAUAAAACCAUACUAUCAUAAAGAUAAUAACAUGAUUCUCGUCUCUUUUAUUUUUAUCCCAA